UGGCUCAGUUGGUAGAGCAUGGUGUUUGCAACGCCAGGGUUGUGAGUUCAAUUCCCAC
rnacentral:tRNA from 1 species